AUUGAACGCUGGCGGAAUGCUUUACACAUGCAAGUCGAACGGCAGCACGGACUUCGGUCUGGUGGCGAGUGGCGAACGGGUGAGUAACAUAUCGGAACGUAUCCAAUAAUGGGGGAUAACUAAUCGAAAGGUUGGCUAAUACCGCAUACGCCCUACGGGGGAAUGCUAGAGACCUUCGGGCCUGGCGUUAAUGGAGCGGCCGAUAUCUGAUUAGCUAGUUGGUGGGGUAAAGGCCCACCAAGGCGACGAUCAGUAGCUGGUCUGAGAGGACGACCCGCCACACUGGACCUGAGACACGGUCCAGACUCCUACGGGAGGCAGCAGUGGGGAAUUUUGGACAAUGGGCGCAAGCCUGAUCCAGCCAUUCCGCGUGAGUGAAGAAGGCCUUCGGGUUGUAAAGCUCUUUCGCAAGGGAAGAGAACUUAGCCUCUAACAUAGGCUGAGGUUGACGGUACCUUGAUAAGAAGCACCGGCUAACUACGUGCCAGCCGCCGCCGUAA
rnacentral:rRNA from 1 species